rnacentral:rRNA from 1 species
UACGAGGGGGGCAAGCGUUGUUCGGAAUUAUUGGGCGUAAAGGGUGCGUAGGCGGUUUUGUAAGUCCUGUGUGAAAUCUUCAGGCUCAACUUGGAGACUGCACGAGAAACUGCAGGGCUUGAGUGUGGGAGAGGUGAGUGGAAUUCCUGGUGUAGCGGUGAAAUGCGUAGAUAUCAGGAGGAACACCUGUGGCGAAAGCGGCUCACUGGACCACAACUGACGCUGAUGCACGAAAGCUAGGGGAGCAAACGGG